AUCAGCAAAGAGCAUACACCAAGGCACAUCCCCUUGGAUAUGUCGGGUUAGAGCAUCCAUCACUAAGGCGAACAACAGGGGGCUCAGCGCCGAUCCUUAGAUCUGCUUAUUGAGCUGUGUAAAAUGAAGCUUAAAUAGUCAAAUACUCAAUUUUCAUGGCAGAAUUCAAUAUUUAACACUACGUAACACUGCAGCACAAAUAUCGAACAUCUAGAAACGAAAAUUAUUUGUAUUUCUGUCACAUAAAAAAGCUGUAAUUUAUCUUUUCUUUAAGCAACUGGGACAAUCCCUCAACUUUCAUGGACAUGUACUUUAUCUUUUCUUUGUAUUUCUUUCACAUAACAACAGGGUUAAGAUAAUUAUAACAAAAACCCAAGAAAACCAGGAUACCGAAGGUAUUUAUAUCCGUACUGAUCUAACUUUACUAUGCACUUCAACACUAUAUACUUCAUCAGCUCAGCUAUGCCGAAGCUAUUUAUAUCCGUACUGAUCUAACUUUACUAUGCACUUCAACACUAUAUACUUCAUCAGCUCAGCUAUUUAGAUUCCAGUUUCCAAUAAUAAAUAACAACAUUAUACUAAACAACAACAACUACUACUACUACUCUCAUGUUGGCAAAAUGAUAAUCCCUUCGUCCCAUUUUAUAUGAUAUCCUUUCCUUUUCAAUAUAUUCCAAAAAGAAUGAUAUAUUUCUAUAUGUAAAAAACAAUUUUAACUUUAAACUUCCAAUUUCACCCUUAAUGAGAUAAUUUAUAGCCGCAGAAAUGCUUAAGGCUUGUUUUAGACGCAAGUUUCGAAGACUAUCUUUCUUCCCUAAACUCCAUGAUCAGCCAAACAACAUCACAUAACAUGGAGGAGUAAGUGACAUUUUUAACCAACAUAAAGCGAAAUUGACAACAAAAGCUCAAUAAAUAUAAUUGCUAGUAAAAAAAAUUGACAUUGACAUUGAUAUUAAAUUAAAACAAAUCUUGUCUAGGAGGAAAUUAGGGUAGAGUUGGCUAGUGGUAAGAUAAUGAGAACAACAGGGACAAUCACUCUUAUUGUGAAGGUGAGUGAUUAUACACAUAUAACAAAAACUAUGGCCACAUGAAGUUAAAAAUGCAUCCUUUAUAAUCUGCAUACAAAUUGGACACAACAAUUCUGGAGAAAUCGAUCUCAAACAAAUUCGGAUUUUUCAAGUAAUGGAGUAGAGGAACUGCAAUUGGGGGGAUUUACUUGAGAUUUGUAUUUUUUGGGAGGAUUUUGUGGUGGGAGGGGGAGCAGGCCCAUAGAGAAAAGUAUUUUGGGGUCUGUGGAACGUAAGCUGCCAACGUUUUGUCCUAUCUUCUUUUCUCUUUGUGUUUUUAACCGUUUUGAGUGAACGUUUAUUCAUUGUAUUUUGCAAAAAUAAACAAAAAUAUUAAAAGCAGUGUGCUUAUUCCGUUUAACUUUUGGCCGUGUUCGAUGCAGACGAAUAGAGGGGACAAUGGAUAUUGAAACUCAGUGUUCCAAAUUCACGAACAAUUGC
rnacentral:lncRNA from 1 species